GUCCCAUGCGGUGCAGUGGGUCAGUGGGUCUGGCUGCUAACCAGGAGGUUGGUGGUUCGAGACCAUCCAGGGAUG